rnacentral:ncRNA from 2 species
UACUGCGCUCCUGUUCGUGGUGCCCGCGCAUGGUUUUCCGUGCCGGGUGAAACGGGAAGCCGGUGAGGCCUGGUCCAUCCAGUCCAAUUCCGGCGCUGCCCCCGCAACGGUAAGGAAGUGCGAGCUCAUCAACACGCCACUGGGUCGAAGUUGGACCUGGGAAGGCGAUGAACUAAGACUUCCAAGCCCGGAGACCGGCCAAGGACAAACCAGCGAA